rnacentral:rRNA from 1 species
GACGAACGCUGGCGGCGUGCCUAAUACAUGCAAGUAGAACGCUGAAGAGAGGAGCUUGCUCUUCUUGGAUGAGUUGCGAACGGGUGAGUAACGCGUAGGUAACCUGCCUGGUAGCGGGGGAUAACUAUUGGAAACGAUAGCUAAUACCGCAUAAAAUUAAUUAUUGCAUGAUAAUUAAUUGAAAGAUGCAAUUGCAUCACUACCAGAUGGACCUGCGUUGUAUUAGCUAGUUGGUGAGGUAACGGCUCACCAAGGCGACGAUACAUAGCCGACCUGAGAGGGUGAUCGGCCACACUGGGACUGAGACACGGCCCAGACUCCUACGGGAGGCAGCAGUAGGGAAUCUUCGGCAAUGGGGGGAACCCUGACCGAGCAACGCCGCGUGAGUGAAGAAGGUUUUCGGAUCGUAAAGCUCUGUUGUAAGAGAAGAACGGGUGUGAGAGUGGAAAGUUCACACUGUGACGGUAUCUUACCAGAAAGGGACGGCUAACUACGUGCCAGCAGCCGCGGUAAUACGUAGGUCCCGAGCGUUGUCCGGAUUUAUUGGGCGUAAAGCGAGCGCAUGCGGUUAGAUAAGUCUGAAGUUAAAGGCUGUGGCUUAACCAUAGUAUGCUUUGGAAACUGUUUAACUUGAUUGCAUAAGGGGAGAGUGGAAUUCCAUGUGUUGUGGGUGAAAUGCGUAGAUAUAUGGAGGAACACCGGGGGGCGAAUGCUGUGUCUCUGGUCUGUAACUGACGCUGAUGUUCGAAUGCGUGGGGAGCUAACUGGAUUAUUUACCCCUGUUAUUCUGAGGGUGAAUGUCCUUUGUUUGUUUUAAGUUUGUGUUUCCUUCUAUUUCAGUGGGGCUCAGUAAACAUAAUUUUGUUGUCUUUAUGGAUAUUUUUUAUCA